AUUGAACGCUGGCGGCAGGCCUAACACAUGCAAGUCGAGCGGAUGAAGGGAGCUUGCUCCUGGAUUCAGCGGCGGACGGGUGAGUAAUGCCUAGGAAUCUGCCUGGUAGUGGGGGAUAACGUCCGGAAACGGGCGCUAAUACCGCAUACGUCCUGCGGGAGAAAGUGGGGGAUCUUCGGGCCUCACGCUAUCAGAUUAUCCUAGUUCGGAUUAGCUAGUUGGUGGGGUAAAGGCCUACCAAGGCGACGAUCCGUAACUGGUCUGAGAGGAUGAUCAGUCACACUGGAACUGAGACACGGUCCAGACUCCUACGGGAGGCAGCAGUGGGGAAUAUUGGACAAUGGGCGAAAGCCUGAUCCAGACAUGCCGAGUGUGUGAAGAAGGUCUUCGGAUUGUAAAGCACUUUACGUUGGGAGGACGGGCAGUCAGUUAAUACCUUGCUGUUUUGACGUUACCAACAGAAUAAGCACCGGCUAACUUCGUG
rnacentral:rRNA from 1 species